rnacentral:rRNA from 1 species
AUUGAACGCUAGCGGGAUGCUUUACACAUGCAAGUCGAACGAGUGGCGGACGGGUGAGUAAUAUAUCGGAACGUGCCCAGUCGCGGGGGAUCACUACUCGAAAGAGUGGCUAAUACCGCAUACUCUUGGAGCGGCCGAUAUCGGAUUAGCUAGUUGGUGGGGUAAAGGCUCACCAAGGCAACGAUCCGUAGCUGGUUUGAGAGGAAGACCAGCCACACUGGGACUGAGACACGGCCCAGACUCCGACGGGAGGCAGCAGGGGGGAAUUUUGGACAAUGGGGGAAACCCUGAUCCAGCAAGCCCGCGUGGAUGAGAAGGCCCUAGGGUGGUAAAGUACGUUCAGUCGGGAGGCGGUACCGACAGAAGAAGCACCGGCUAACUCCGUGCCAGCAGCCGCGGUAAUUC